UACGGGGGGGGGCAAGCGUUGUUCGGAAUUACUGGGCGUAAAGGGCUCGUAGGUGGCCAACUAAGUCAGACGUGAAAUCCCUCGGCUUAACCGGGGGAACUGCGUCUGAUACUGGAUGGCUUGAGUUUGGGAGAGGGACGCGGAAUUCCAGGUGUAGCGGUGAAAUGCGUAGAUAUCUGGAGGAACACCGGUGGCGAAGGCGGCAUCCUGGACCGACACUGACGCUGAGGAGCGAAAGCCAGGGGA
rnacentral:rRNA from 1 species